rnacentral:rRNA from 1 species
GACGAACGCUGGCGGCGUGCCUAAUACAUGCAAGUCGAACGCAGUGGGGACGGGUGAGUAACACGUGGGUAACCUCCCAUCAGAGGGGAUAACACUUGGAAACAGGUGCUAAACCGAUACUGAUGGAUGGCCCCUCGGUGCAUUAGCUAGUUGGUGAGGUAACGGCUCACCACGGCCAAGAUGCAUAGCCGACCUGCGAGGGGUCUCGGCCCCACUGGGAAGGAGAACAGGCCCAGACUCCUACGGGAGGCAGCAGUAGGGAAGCUUCGGCAAUGGACGAAAGUCUGACCGAGAAACGCCGCGUGAGUGAAGAAGUUUUUCGGAGCGUAACACUCUGGUGUUAGAGAAGCGGUAUCUAACCAGAAAGCCACGGCUAACUACGUGCCAGCAGCCGCGGUAAUUC